UCCUACGGGGGGCAGCAGUGGGGAAUAUUGCGCAAUGGGCGAAAGCCUGACGCAGCAACGCCGCGUGCGGGAUGAAGGCCUUCGGGUUGUAAACCGCUUUCAGCAGGGAAGAAGCGAAAGUGACGGUACCUGCAGAAGAAGCACCGGCUAACUACGUGCCAGCAGCCGCGGUAAUACGUAGGGUGCAAGCGUUGUCCGGAUUUAUUGGGCGUAAAGAGCUCGUAGGCGGUUAGUCACGUCGGAUGUGAAAACCCGGAGCUUAACUCCGGGCCUGCAUUCGAUACGGGCUGACUCGAGUGUUGUAGGGGAGACUGGAACUCCUGGUGUAGCGGUGAAAUGCGCAGAUAUCAGGAAGAACACCGGUGGCGAAGGCGGGUCUCUGGGCAACUACUGACGCUGAGGAGCGAAAGCGUGGGGAGCAAACAGGAUUAGAUACCCUGGUAGUCCACGCCGUAAACGGUGGGCGCUAGGUGUGGGGAACAUUCCACGUUCUCCGUGCCGCAGCUAACGCAUUAAGCGCCCCGCCUGGGGAG
rnacentral:rRNA from 1 species